AGCGCUUCCCGCUACAGCUUGAAGGUGCAGAAGCUGUCACAAGACUGGUUGCCCAACGAAAUGGUUUUUAAUAUGUUACGAAGAUGAGCCUAUCCUGGUGAGAAGAUAUAAUGGAGAUAUUUCUGAGGAUUAUUUACAGAGUCAACCAGCAUCACUCUUGAACAACUGAUACCUUUCUAGCAUGGGCACAAGCAGGUUUGUUUCAGAAGUACAGAAGCUGCUUCUGACCUAAUUGAUCAAACAUGAUAUUUUUCAAGAAACAGUGCAAAAUGUCUUCUUUUCAAGGCAAAUUUGGGGACCGGAGAGAGAAAGGUAAUAUAUGCUAGAGAAUGUGUCAGGAUUUGAGUUGGAAAUAAAAUACAUUUUAAUAUUGCUCAUACUGCCAUUCAGAACUUGUAUUUCUUCAUCUGAAUGCAUACAACUGAUUAAAAAUGUUACAAGUUUCUUUUCCCUGCUCUUUUUCCUAAUUUCUCUGAAAGUAUAUUCUUCAAAAUUAUCUUAGGAUUGCUCUUUAGAAAGUUUCACUCAUAAAAAACUCUGAAAAAAUAAUCUUAUUAAUUAAAUAAUAUCAGUAAUUAAAAUAUAAUUGUAAUAAAUUAUGUAUUUUAUUAUAUUAGGAAUUUUCAGAGAUUGUUUUAGAUAUUUUAUCCCAAAUCUUUUUGAAAAGUUUAUUUUUUUUCCAGCUGUAAAUCUGCAUCUUCUAUCUUAGAAUGCCAAGUAUAUUUGUAUGUUAAUGACAAGACAAAUUACUAAGAGAGGAUUGAGCUUCUUCGAAAGAGAAAAAAUUAUCAACUAUAACUCAAUUAUUUAAUUUGCUGAAUUUUUUUUCAGUAAAGCGAAAACAAUCCACUGCAACCUCUAAUAGGUUGACCUUUCCUCUGUGGUCUAAACCUCUCUUUCUCCUCUUUUCUUCUUUUUAUUAACUGCAUGAACACCAUUUGCUGUGCAAGAGGAACACCUUACAUAAUGACAUAUAACCCAGGACUCAUUUUAAUAUUCAUGAGUUUGUCAGCUUUAUUAAAGAAAUUCAAGUAGCUAGUGAACGCUGGAUUGCAUUCCUCUACCAUAUAUCUUUUAUCUGGCUGUUAAAGUUAAGCAUUACUAAUGCAGUUUUAAUUUCUCCUUCUUUGGAAUUCAACUCCUUGAUGGACAUGUAAUACAUGCUCUAGAUUCUCCAGCAAGCGUACCUACAUUAACAACCACAACUAUUUAUAGUUGCAACCAAGGUCCUAAAGAUAUGCAAGUUCCCAGUCCCAGCAGGUUAGCUUUGAAAUCACUAAAAGAAAGAAUCAAAAAAGUUAGAAAGUUCUCCCCUCAAAUCAAAAUCAAGAGGUCUGCUUUCCACACCGUAUUUUUUUCAAAGCUCUCUAGGAAAGACUGGAUCUAGAUUUCAAAAACCAUAAGGAAGAAAAGGAUCCCCUUAUUGGUACUGUUCAUUGCUUUUGUUUUUGUUUUGCUGGAUGAAUCUUGAAAAUUUCCAAUUUUAACCCCAUACAAAGCAAGUGAUCAGUUUAGGAAUAAAAUUAAAAAUAAAAAAUAAAAUUACUACAUGAAAGGAAACAACAUUCAAAUGUUAUUAACCAAAUGAGGGAAUGGAUGUCAGUGUUAAUGUGUAGGUACAUAAAAAGAACCUUAUUUUGCAGAUGUAUGACAGGGCUCCCUGAAGAACACAAGUUUUUCUAUAUUAAUUCCAUGGUAGUUGAAAGCUACAUAAUCAAAAACACCUUUUAAGCUUGGCAGAAUUAUAACACUGGCUGUUUAAAAUAAAAGGUCUGCAUGGAAAGU
rnacentral:lncRNA from 7 species